rnacentral:rRNA from 1 species
AGCGAACGCUGGCGGCAGGCCUAACACAUGCAAGUCGAACGAACCUUUCGGGGUUAGUGGCGGACGGGUGAGUAACACGUGGGAACGUGCCUUUAGGUUCGGAAUAACUCAGGGAAACUUGUGCUAAUACCGAAUGUGCCCUUCGGGGGAAAGAUUUAUCGCCUUUAGAGCGGCCCGCGUCUGAUUAGCUAGUUGGUUGAGGUAAUGGCUCACCAAGGCGUCGAUCAGUAGCUGGUCUGAGAGGAUGAUCAGCCACAUUGGGACUGAGACACGGCCCAAACUCCUACGGGAGGCAGCAGUGGGGAAUCUUGCGCAAUGGGCGAAAGCCUGACGCAGCCAUGCCGCGUGAAUGAUGAAGGUCUUAGGAUUGUAAAAUUCUUUCACCGGGGACGAUAAUGACGGUACCCGGAGAAGAAGCCCCGGCUAACUUCGUG